GCCUUGACUGGGUGCUUUGGUAUGAAGCUCUCAUGCUGUGUGUGUGUGUGUGUGUGUGUGUGUGUGUGUUUCAGUGGCGUUGGCAUGGCUCUUCUCUUCAGCUGGAGCUCAGAGAGGCCAUUUCAGCUCCACCCCCUCUGUGAGCUUUGGAGGCCAGCGUGUUUGAGUAGACUAGAGCUCCCCCUAGUGGUGGUGAACAGUAACGACAGCUGGCUCUCGCCCCUCUCUCUGUGUGUGUGUGUGUGUGUGUGUGUGUGUGUGUGUGUGUGUGUCCGCAGGAAGCCCGUAGGGGCCGAGAGAGCGCAUGCCGGGUCUGAGAGGUCCCAGACACUGCUUUACCACCCGGGCAAGACGGGCUCCAAGGAGGGAGUCAACAACAACAACAACAGACCCCGGAGAAAAGCAGAUGUGCGUAGCUCUCAGACCCAGCAGCCGAGUGUGUCUCAUGCCUCCGAGGCCCCCGAGGACCCCAGCGUUCACCCGAAGAAGAAGAGGAGGAAGAGGAGUCCGCUGGCACUGUGGGAGCGGAGGAAGGCCCCAUACCGGCAGCUCGCAUCCCUGCUGCCCCUGUCUCUGCCCCUGCCCCUGCCCCAGCCUCAACCGCCCCCCGAGGAGCGCAAGGCCCUGUUGGCCAGCAUGGACCUCCACCGGCCCGACUACGGAGCCCUGCUCUGAGCCCGACCAGCGCCAGCGCCAGCACCAGCCCCGACCCGACCCAGACUCACACACGCUAGAGUGAUGCAAACGCCCUCUGAUGGUUGCCAGGGUUACAUCUGAUCAGAGUUUUAGGAUGGAGUUGGGAUGGACAGUCUGUAAGAUCUGUGUGUGUGUGUGUGUGUGUGUGUGUGUGUGGAGGGGAGAGAGACUGAAAGCUUUAGGAAAGUAAUAACCUGUAAGAGGGUGAUAACCCGUGGCAGAUGGUGUGUUACCCCCGCGCGUGUGUGUGUGUGUGUUUGGUGAGUGAAUUUUGGUGUGUGUGUGUGAUGUGUUAUUGGUCACCAAAGGGAGGGGAUUAGGCAAGUUCUACUCUGCAGUCUUGAAUAGGGCCAGGGGCUUAUCCGCAGGGCUGGGGGCCAAAGGGCCUUAUCCGCAGGGCUGGGGGCCAAAGGGCCUUUUCCGCAGGGCUGGGGGCCAAAGGCUAUGAUGCUGUUUGACUCGAGUCCAAAUUUAAGUAGAUAGUCCAACAAUGCACAGUGAGGCCCAGAAACCUGAGCAACAACUAAUUGGGAAGUAAAAUCACAAAUGUUUGUCACUCUGUGGAAGUGUAAGAAUGCCCUUUGAACCCAGACCCUCGAUUGGUGACGUUUCUGCCUCUCUGUGUUCCGUUCCGCAUCCCUGACAGUGUGACACACACGUCACCGUAAACCACAAAGCUCACACUGGCAUGGCGCCUCACACACCGGGCCGGCAGCCGCCCUGUGCCAGGUCCAGACAGGACUCGGCUGCCGUGCGGGGCACCGUUGGUGAGGGGCACCGCUGGUGAGGGCUCAGUAAUCUCUCGAGUCUAAAAGGUCCGUACGCCACCGACAUCUGGCCUAAGCUCUUCCGGAUUUAGAGGGGUUUCCAGCAGCAUAACUCUCACUCACUGUUUCAAAUGCACUUAAACAAAUUACUUUUUUUACUCAGUAGAACUACUUUUGGUGCAUAUAACAACUCCUGCCAAAUCUGUACUGUCUUUUAUAGGCCAAAUAAAGGCUUCUUUUGGGCUGUGUGCUGGCAGUGCGAUAUAUCAAUAGAGAGGUGUAUGGUGCCCCCAACUGGACAUAGUGGGCACUGCAAUGGGUUUAAAGGCUGAAAGACACCUUGGGAACACAGAGUUCCGGAAAGGCCAGGGCAUCUUUAAAACGUUUAGACUGCGUCCCGAAAAAAGAGAUCUAACACAGGGUUCUUUCUUUCUACAAAAUAUACCUCAAAAUAUUGACAAAUUAGGCACAUAUGUUUAAGCAACGACACUAUUUUGCUUUGGUAUAUUUUAUUUCGAUUUUUAUAUAGAUUUUACGUCAUUGCCUUCAGAGUAGUAUGAUUCUAUCCAAAUCCAUUUGGUUCAAAAGACACAGUAAUGAUGGGACCUCAGUGCGGUUCCCCUUAGGAAAGCACAGUGUUCUGUCCAGUGUGAGAACGUGAGGGCCACAGGCCUGCCGAGAACGACACACACACUUCUCUCGCUUCUUCUCGUGACUGCCCAGGUAACGGCUGAUUGGUCAAGAGACUGCCCAGGUAACGGCUGAUUGGUCCAGAGACUGCCCAGGUAACGGCUGAUUGGGCCAGGUGUAGGCCGAGUCCCAGCCACAGUUAGUCGCCAUCUUGGUAGCUGCCCUCAGAGAGGCGUCCAGCCACAGCAUCAGUCUAGAGAACGGGCCGUCCCCUAUACUCCACACACACACACACACACACACACACACACACACACACACACACACACACACACACACAUAGCUUAGUCUAAAGAACAGGCCGUCCCCUAUACUCCACACACACACACACACAGAGCCUAGUCUAAAGAACAGGCCGUCCCCUAUACACCACACACACACACACACACACAGAGCUCAGUCUAGAGAACAGGCCGUCCCCUAUACUCCACUCUACUCUCUCUCUCCUUUCCUUCGUGUGCUACUGAACCCAAACACACCAGGGGUCCUGGACACAGAACACACACACACACAAACACACACACACACACACACACACACACACACACACAUACACUAGGGGUCCUGGACACAGAAUGCAACUUAUCUAGUCUGGCAUUAGGUGAACUAAGGCAUUCUACCUGCCUUGUUGGCCUUCUUCCACUUUGUCUGUAAAGUGGAGUUACUGCCUUUUCUUAGUUUGUUUUCUGGGCAUCAUCUCAGGCCACGUCCUGAACAGCAGCCAGUGGUUUCGCUUCUGUUUCUGAGAUGUUUCUGAGGGAUGUUAAAUCAUCAUCUCAGGCCACGUCCUGAACAGCAACCUGCUCUGAAUGAUGUUUCUGAGGGAUGUUAAAUCAUCAUCUCAGGCCACGUCCUGAACAGCAGCCAGUGGUUUCUCUUCUGCUCUGAGGGAUGUUUCUGAGGGAUGUUAAAAUGUUAAAUCUAAAGCUGAAAUGUGAAUAGCAUAAAUCCUAUUUUUGUCAGGAAUAUUUGUGUGUAGACUUUUUUUCUUUUCUUUUCUUUUCAUGCCAAUGAAAGCUUCCAGGGUCACCUCAAAAGUAAUGCUCAAUAAUUCUCUCUUCAACUAUUGCAAUUCAAACUGGUGCUUCAUCAACAAUGACUGUUUUUCUCUGCCAGAUCGAACGCUCAGUGCCUCCACCACACACACCUCUGCUGAUGGUGUCUUAAGGGUGCCGCGGCACACUGCGUCACCGCGACAACAAGCCGUGAUGUGACGUGAGGGAGAGCCAUGUAGAACUGAGCAGGGUAGACUGAACCUAUCCGUGUUCCACAUUUACUUCUGAGAGGACUCUGUGUAGCCGUGACUAGCUAGAUGUGCUAAUACUGAUUGAUCAUUUCCAGUGUAAAAUGUACUACUGAAUCAUAGGAAGGAUUCGUCCACUGUUUCAUAGAGAUAAUCAAAUAUAAAUCAAACUUGUGUUGUACUGGAUGAAUAAACUUAGAAAUGUACAGUUGCUAUCAUAGAGACGAUAAAAACAAUUAUGUUUGCCAGUGACAAAAUGUUGAUGUUUCAGAAAAAAAAAAUCAACCUCUUUGCUGAGCAACCGUUUAAAAGUGCAAGUGCUAUUGUUAAUUUGCUUUCCUGUCCAAGAACAGCUGAACUGCGUUUGCCCAUGCACAUGACUUUAGAUCACCAUAACAGUGUUUUACACUUUCACUUUACCAUCAAUUAAUCUCAUUAUGUGACAAUUGAUACGUUGGUGGGGUCAACUCACAAUAUAACCUGGAAUAAGGGGUUAUUGAGUCGCUAACCCACUAACUGUUGCUCUGCUAGCUACGUCUGUAUGUAUGUAUAAUGUAUGUAUGUGUGUGUGUGUGUGUGUGUGUGUGUGUGUGUGUUGAUUUUAUCUAACUCUAACCGAUCAUGAAUGUAUGCUUUGAUUGAGGGAAAGUGAUUUACUUCUGAUUUCUUAAAGUUAGCAGCCUUGUUAGAGCACUAGGGAGUCUGCCUCUACGGUAACUAGGGCACUAGAGAGUCUGCCUCUUCUGUAACUAGGGCACUAGGGAGUCUGCCUCUACGGUAACUAGGGCACUAGGGAGUCUGCCUCUUCUGUAACUAGGGAGUCUGCCUCUACUGUAACUAGGGCACUAGGGAGUCUGCCUCUUCUAUAACUAGGGAGUCAGCCUCUUCUGUAACUAGGGCACUAGGGAGUCGGCCUCUACUGUAACUAGGGCACUAGGGAGUCUGCCUCUUCUGUAACUAGGGCACUAGGGAGUCAGCCUCUUCUGUAACUAGGGCACUAGGGAGUCAGCCUAUUCUGUAACUAGGGCACUAGGGAGUCAGCCUCUUCUGUAACUAGGGAGUCUGCCUCUUCUGAAACUAGGGCACUAGGGAGUCAGCCUCUACGGUGACUAGGGCACUAGGGAGUCUGCCUCUACUGUAACUAGGGCACUAGGGAGUCGGCCUCUACUGUAACUAGGGAGUCUGCCUCUACGGUAACUAGGGCACUAGGGAGUCGGCCUCUACUGUAACUAGGGCACUAGGGAGGCGGCCUCUACGGUAACUAGGGCAUUAAAUAGUGGUUCACUCCUCACCUCCAUGUCUUGUGUUGCGGUGACGUCCAAAGGGGAGUAGAGCCCUGCGGUGACGUACCAGAGGCGAGUAGAGCCCUGCGGCUGAGAGUAGUACGCGUGCCAGAAGGGCGGCGCUAGAAAGUCUGACGCAUGAAAUCGUACGCACCCCCUUCAGUGGGUGAAAUGACCCCCCAAACCGACGCUGGAGGAUUCCACAGACAGAGAAUGUGUGGAUGAGUGAACUACAAGUGCUUUAUGUCAAACGAACGAACAAAACGCUUUCGAUGUAAUUUAUAUUACCCGAUACACUGCUCGUAUGCAGUCCUGUCGCAUUUUUGACUUCUUAUUCUUAAAGCUGUAUCCCCCCUACCCACAACACUUAAUUGUCACUUUUAUUAUCAAGCUCUGAUGCUAACCCUAUCAGCACAGAACAGUACCUGUAAGCUAUUGUCAUUUGGCCAAUAGACAAGGCACAAGUCCAGUCCUUCUCCCUCUUUCUAAUGUAUCAAUGUCCUAAAGCUGCUGAACAUGUUAGGCCCUGGCUGGGUCUGCUGUGGUCUGUCCUGUCUGCUUGCCUUUAGUGCAGUACAGCUGAGGGUGGAGGCGGCUAUAGCUAGCGGUGAGGGUGGAGGUGGCUAUAGCUAGCGGUGAGGGUGGAGGUGGCUAUAGCUAGCGGUGAGGGUGGAGGCGGCUAUAGCUAGCGGUGAGAGUGGAGGCGGCUGUAGCUAGCGGUGAGAGUGGAGGCGGCUGUAGCUAGCGGUGAGAGUGGAGGCGGCUAUAGCUAGCAGUGAGGGUGUAGCUAUCGGUGAGGGUGGAGGCGGCUGUAGCUAGCGGUGAGGGUGGAGGCGGAUGUAGCUAGCGGUGAGGGUGUAGCUAGCGGUGAGGGUGGAGGCGGCUGUAGCUAGCGGUGAGGGUGGAGGCGGAUAUAGCUAGCGGUGUGCGUUUAGGCCCCAGGGCCUGUUUGUGAUUUGCAGACCAUGUUUACAUUAGUUAGGUAUCAUAUGUUAGGGUGUAGGAGCGUCGUGUGCAUACUGACUUGGUGCUAUGUCCUCUAUGUCUUCUAUAUUUCGUGGUGCUGUAGAGGAGUGGGGGGGGGGGGACUCGUGCGGUCCACUCGCACGGUGCACCCCCUGCACGUCCUGUCUCUAACGCAAACUCACCGAGCGAGCCCCAUCGUCCGUCCGCCCGUCCGCCCGCGUGUCCUAGGCCUCAUUGUGAGUAGGGAUAAAGCAAUAAACCCAUUCUGACCAGGUCAUGGUCACGGUCACGUCACAGCAGCGGAGAGAGAGUGACAUGGAAGACUAACUCAGCUUUUGGUUUUGAACUGUUUGUGCAGAAGGCAGCGUCAGAGUGAGUGAUUUGUACAUUGAGUUGUGGAGAAGUGUGUGUGACCUAAAGCUAGGCCUAUAUCGGGGGGUUUCUUCUACUGCUCUAAGUGUUUGUCUUAGUAUAGCCUGGCCCUCUGACGUCGCACGGGAGCUGGCCUGAGGGACACACACAUAUCUCUCUCGGCCUGACAGCAUGUUCAGGAGGAAAAGAAAAAAAAAAACAGAGGUCAACUUUUUUUAAACUUGUUUUUUUAUUAUUUUAUUGUUGUUUUUUGUUUAUAAUAGCACUGUUUACAAACACCAAUGUAAAUCUCAUCAUCAGUUUUCCGAUGUGAAAGGAUGGUCCUUCACUGGGUGCCAGUGUGACUGCACAUCCAGACAAAUAUUCCUCAAAUGGCUGUUGCUGUUGUCAUUUUACUGAUUUCUCCUGUGUGUGUGUGUGUGUGUGUGAGGAGAGAGGCGGUAUUGUGUGUGUGUGUGUGUGUGUGUGUGUGUCCGCUAAUAUCAUCUUCUAGGAUGUUCUAGACAUAUGUAGUCUUCCUGUCUCUUGCUUCUUUUUGAGAAAUGACUAACUUCAGAGGGCUCAUCUUGACUGCCUGUGUGUGUGUGUGUGUGUGUGUGUGUGUGUGUGUGUGUGUGUGUGUGUGUGUGGUGCUUCACCUGCUACAUAGCCCCAUGCUGUUCUAAAGCGCUGUGGCCAGCACACAGAUGGUAGAAUGUAAUGUGUUUCUGCACUAAUCCUGACUGUUUCACCACGCAGCCUCAUAAAGAGAGAUAGUGCUCGUGUCCCAUGCAGCUUAUGUGGCACUCCAUUCAGCUACGCUGUGCAUUAUUGUGCUUGUUUACACAUCACACAGCUUUUUAAAUGUUGUUUACGCAACGCGGGCGUGUCCGUGGCACAGCUCCCAUCCCACAUUUUUAUAUUUGAGAUAAAUUAGUUACGCAGAUCCUGUCCAAUGCUGAGGAGACUGCCCCAGUAUCUGCAAAGACCCCCUUCAUCUCCAGAUUUCAGUACUAGUGUGGGAGCUUCAGUAGUUCAGUUCUAGAGUGGGAGCUUCAGCAGUUCAGUACUAGUGAGCGAGCUUUAAGAUCGGUUCCCCUCCAGUCAGUGUGUAGUUGUUUUCCCCUCUUCAGAAGCCAAGCAUCUGGUGCUGAACCAAAGCCUCUGAGUGUGUUUGGACACUUCUGAGUGGGUUUGGACCCUUCUGGGUGGGUUUGGAACCCUCUGGGUGGUGCUCUUCGGCUUGGUCUCACUGUAAGGACUGUCACAGUAUGAUACUGUGUGAGUAUGGGAGAGUGUGUGUGAGAGUGUGUGCUGUGUGACGUUGGGUCAGGUCUGGCCUGGGCCUCCUGGGCCCCUGUCAUGUAAGGGCCAGAAUCGCUCCAGAAUCACAAGCCAUCAGAGAGAGUGUGUGUGUGUGUGUGUGUGUGUGUGUUAUAUCAGAGCAUGAAUGUGUUAGGAAUACAACACUUCCCCGUAACCUAAACCAUCCAGAAACAGACGCUCUGGUGUGUCCCUCGUGUGUCCCUCGUGACAGUAGAGGCGUUGACCUUCUCAGAGUGACGGAGCGAUGUUAGCCUGCACUGCAAGUUCGAGUUCCAGGUGCUGAUCUCUGUCUUUCAGUCAGUCUGUCUGUCUGCUUGCCUGUCUGUCUGUCUGUCUGCUUGCCUGUCUGUCUGUCUGUCUGUCUGCUUGCCUGUCUGUCUGUGUGUCGGGGGGGAGGCAGCGACAGCCGUGGAAUAUUUGGGGUCCUUUUAGAUGGGUGGUGACGCCCCCCGCUGUAGUCCCCCAUCAUGGCACUGACAUCUCUGCCUCAGCUUUACCGUUUACAUCGCCUGACACACACACACACACACACACACGCACACACACUCUCAUUUCAGCUGGGUUGUAUUCAGUUCACAUUGUUCAAAUGCUUUGUUCCAUCGUAAUAACCCUCAAAAAAUUUUGUAUUUUGAUAUAAUAAAACAUUGCAAUGACACCAGUGUCGACAUUCUUGGAUUCUCUUUUGUUCUACCCGUGCGUGAACGGGCCAUGCUGUGUGUCAGUUAGAUUCCUUGUGUUUUAUAGAGAUGUGUAACAACCAGCAGAGAUCACUAAUGUGCAGAAACCGAACACAUAUAACCACAUGGGCAUACGCCUAUAUCUCAGAAUCAGAAUCAGAAUCAUCUUUAUUGGCCAAGUACAUUUCCACAUACAAGGAAUUUUUCCUGGGUUUAAUUGCUCUCAAUGUACUUAAACUGAAAAAUAUGCAUGCAACAGUUUAGGAUAAUAAAUAAAUAUAAUAUAUAAUAUAAUAAUCUGUCAACUGUUCAUUAGAGUGACGGCAAGGGGGGAAAAACUGUUCCUGUGUCUGGUGGUUUUUGUGUACAUAGUUCUGUAGCGCCUGCCAGAGGGGAGGAGCUGGAACAGAUUAUGUCCAGGGUGUGAGGGGUCUGCAAUGAUUUUCCCUGCCCGUUUCCUGGCUCUGGAUGUGUACAGGUCCU
ensembl:lncRNA